rnacentral:tRNA from 1 species
CCCCAUGUGGCUCAGUUGGUAGAGCAUGGUGUUUGCAAUGCCAGCAUGGUGUGUGCAACGCCAGGGUUGUGGGUUCGAUUCCCACGGGGG